rnacentral:rRNA from 1 species
CAAUGGGGGAAACCCUGAAUGCAGCGACGCCGCGUGAAGGAUGAAGUAUUUCGGUAUGUAAACUUCUAUCAGCAGGGNAAGAAGAUGACGGUACCUGNACUAAGAAGCCCCGNNNUAACUACGUGCCAGCAGCCGCGGUAAUACGUAGGGGGCAAGCGUUAUCCGGAUUUACUGGGUGUAAAGGGAGCGUAGACGGCGAUGCAAGCCAGAUGUGAAAGCCCGGGGCUCAACCCCGGGACUGCAUUUGGAACUGCGUGGCUGGAGUGUCGGAGAGGCAGGCGGAAUUCCUAGUGUAGCGGUGAAAUGCGUAGAUAUUAGGAGGAACACCAGUGGCGAAGGCGGCCUGCUGGACGAUGACUGACGUUGAGGCUCGAAAGCGUGGGGAGCAAACAGGAUUAGAUACCCUGGUAGUCCAAGGGCGAAUUC